AUGACUUCUGGGUAACUAAUGAAAUUAAGGCAGGAAUUAAGAAGUUCUUUGAAAUAAUGAGGAUAAAAGAUACAAUAUAUCAGAAUCUCUGGGACACAGCCAAAGCAGUGUUAAGAGGGACUAUAAUAGCACUAAAUGCCCACAUCAGAAAGUUCGAAGCGAACAGCCUAACAUCACAUCUAGAGGAACCUAGCAGAAGACAAGAAAUAACAAAAAUCAAAGCUGAACUGAAGGAAAUUGAGACAUGAAAAACCAUACAUGAGAUCAAUUAUUCCAGGAGCUGGUUCUUUGAAAGAAUUAAAAAGAUAGAUGGACUGCUACCUAGACUAAUAUAGAAAAAAAGAGAGAAGAUCCAAAUAAACACAAUUAAAAAUAUUGUCAAUUUCUUAAAAUCUUUAUCCUCUCCACGUCGUAUUUAGAAUAGUGUCUAUUGCCUUAUAUGCAGAUGUAGUGUCACUAUACAAUCUGAUUUUAAUAAAAUCCAGUACAUUUUUAAUUUCAGACAUUGUGUUUAAGCAUUUAUAAUUUCACUUGUGACUUUUUUAUUGUUUCAGUUUUUUCUCCUUAAAGUCCAUUUGUUCAACAAUUUAUGUCUGUCUUUUGCUUGAGUAUCUUGUGAAUAUUUAUAAUAGUUGGUUAAGUUCCUUGGCUAUUAAUUUCAACAUCUGUGUUAUGUUUGGCUCUUCAAAUUAUUAUCAGUCACAAAAUCAACUCCACUCUUGUCAGAACUUCAAAGACUACUAGCAUUUUGCAAUCUCUGGUGUCUCACUUCAGCUUUUCCACUAUGGUUCUCUAACAUGGUCUUUUGCUCUGUUAGAUUAGUAUUUGGCUGAGUGAAAAACAACUAAAGGCACACAUCUGAAACUCCUUCCCUGUGAAUAUUCCUCCAUUCCAAUGCCUGCAACUGCAAAUUCCAAUCACCUCAGCAGUCAUGAACAUUGAUUUCUUUUUCUCCAACUAGUAAAACCACUGAUCCCUUCAUUUGAGCUCGACUUCCCUGCACUUAGUUUUGAAUUUUUCCCCUGUCCAAUAGUAAGACACACACACAGAGAAGAACAACAAGAACAAGAAGAGAAUUGCAAUGAUGUGAAAACACGAUAACACAUGUAGAGCAGAGCACUGUGCACCAGUUACUAAUGCCAGAAGAGGACUCUCACUAUAUGGAGGGUAAUGAAGAUCAUCACAAUACCAGCCACCAGGAAUAGAAGUCCAGAUACUUCUGCCCACUGUCUGUUAGUAUUGGAGUCACCAAAAAAUCACAAGUCAAGUACUUGGUGGAAAAUUACUUUACUCACAAAAAGAUACAGAGCAAGAUCAGUUUCGGUAGUGGACAUCUGUCACCAUGGUCCCUCCUAAAAGACAAUGCAGGGCAACUGGCCUAUGAGCACCCAACUAGUGCUACACUAGAAGGACUCUGACACCUCCUCCAUGAAGUAUGAAAUAUCAAAAACUAGGGGCAUGCCUGAGCGCCAUUGAAACACAGUGCUUAAGCAGAACAAAGACGUAAAGACGUACUCAUUGAGUCUGAAACAGAGAAAGAUACUUUCUCACUAAAUCUAAACCUGGGAUAGGUACUGCCUUUCCCAAUACAACAGAUUUUAGUAAAUCCUCCAAAUUUGUUUGACUUUGUUCCAUUUGUUUUGGUAAUUAUCUAUGCUGUCCCUUUCUAUAUACAAUUAGCAUAAGCUAGUCAAUACAACAAAAAUAUAUACAGCAAAUUAGAUUGGGUUUGCAUCAUUCUAUAGAUUAGGAGAAUAUUGAACAUUAUAAAAAUAGUGAAUAUUCCAAUUCAUGAACUCAAUAUAUUUAUUCAUUUACUAAGACAUUCUUGAUUUCUUAUUCAGCAUUCGUAGGUAACAUGCAAAUCCUGUAUCUAUUUUUGUUAACUUUGUACCUACAUAUUUUGUUUUUCCUGAUGCUAUUGUAACUAUUACUUUAAAAUUUAAUUUCCAUGUGCCUAUAGUCCCAACUUCUUGGGAGACUGAGGCAAAAGACUCAGUUGGGCCCAGGAGGGAGUUUGAGUCUAGUCUGGGCAACACAGAACCCCACCUCUAAAAAUUAAAUUAAGUUAAAAUUAAAAAAAAAAAUUUCCAUUUGUUCAUGCCCAUUAUGCAAAUAUGUAAUUGACCUAGUACCCUGGAACAUUCCAAAAUUAUUUUACUAAAUCUGGAGAUUUUGUUAUAGAUCUAAAGACUGUGAAUUCAUAUGCAAAUAUGUUGCUUAUAUAAAUAGACUUAUUUUACCAUUUUUA
rnacentral:lncRNA from 1 species